AAUUUUCGGUUUUUGAUUUGAUUACUGUGUUUCAGUUAACUUGUUAAUCAUGAGAUGGGAAAGGGUGUCUGUACAUGGAGGUGGUGGGCCUGGUAAAAAGUGGGGACACACCUGUAGCGCUGUCGUAGGAGGUAGACUUCUCUAUGUCUUUGGUGGUUUUGGUGAUGAUAACAGGCAUACUAAUAAAGUUCACGUCUUUGACAAUGUUAAUAGAAUUUGGAGUGAGCCAGUGACAAAGGGAACUUUGCCUUCACCAAGGGACAGCCACAGUUGUACAGCAGUUGGAGAUAAUUUGUUUGUGUUCGGGGGCACAAAUGGGACAAAUUCUCUUAACGAUUUAUACAUUUUGGACACCUCUUCGAAUACAUGGAUAGCACCCAGUCUAAGAGGUGAUCCCCCUAAUCCAAGGGAAGGCCACAGUGCAGCACUCAUUGGUAAACGGCUUUUCAUAUUUGGCGGAUGUGGCAACAUUGAUGGCACUGAAAUAUUCUAUGAUGACGUUUACGUACUGAAUACAGAGACACUUAUGUGGAAACGCAUUAUGCCAUCAGGCAUUCCGCCAAGUAAACGCGAGAGCCAUUCCUAUUCAUCUUGGAACAAUAAGAUCAUUAUCAUAGGUGGUCAAGACACAUCUAGCUUUUAUCAGUCAGAUGUUCAUAUACUUGACACAGAUACCCUGAGCUGGUCCAAGUUGAACACUAAGGGCCAGAUUUUGCCACCGCGAGCUGGGCAUACAACCAUUUCAUUGGGCAGGCACCUGUUUGUCUUUGGGGGUUUCGCUGAUAACCAGAGCCUAU
rnacentral:misc_RNA from 1 species